UACAGAGGUGGCAAGCGUUGUUCGGAAUUACUGGGCGUAAAGGGCGCGUAGGCGGCCUGCUAAGUCGAACGUGAAAUCCCCGGGCUCAACCCGGGAACUGCGUCCGAUACUGGUGGGCUUGAAUCCGGGAGAGGGAUGUGGAAUUCCAGGUGUAGCGGUGAAAUGCGUAGAUAUCUGGAGGAACACCGGUGGCGAAGGCGGCAUCCUGGACCGGUAUUGACGCUGAGGCGCGAAAGCCAGGGGAGCAAACGGG
rnacentral:rRNA from 1 species